CAAAAUCUGGAACCCUACACGACCAGGAUAGCCAAUAUCUGCCCUACGUUGUCUGGAAUAAGCCAGACUCAAACCCGAAAGGAACAGCCCAACAUCUGCUCAAAGUAACUAUCAAAGGUAACCAUCGCGAACCUGACAUCACACGGACAUCUGUUUGGCAGUAAGCUGUCAGGUGAGAGCACACGCUAACUUUCGGCUACCCCUUAAAGGCGUAUAAUUGACCCGUUAUUGAGAACCUUCGUGAUCUGUCAAAUAACGGGUCACUUUAUCGGAUCAAAAUUACCCUUUAUUUCGAAAAGCUUGAGUCCAGCCAUAAAGGGUAGUCUUGGAACUUUGUAAAUUUUUGAAUUUUAUUUGCGCUUGUGAAAAUUUACCUCUGCAAGGGGAACUGGAUGAGGAGGAUUCGAUUCCCACGGAGCCAAUUGAAGGAAAACUGCGAAAAAUUAUGUGGGAGCUGCGGAUUCGUGAAAAAUUAAGCAACGUCUCUUCCAAUCUUUGGAUGGUUGUAAGAAUUCGAUUCCGUCAUCAUGAUGAAGGUCCAACUUUGUGUAUUCCCACAAGCAGCCAAAUAGGGACAAUGAAAGAUACGCAAACGAUUUAUAAAAAUUUUGCUUGUGAUACUUA